GUUUCCGUAGGUGACCUGCGGAAGGAUCAUA
rnacentral:rRNA from 1 species